AUUUUGAAAUCUAAAUUUUUAUUAUUAUUUUGUCUGUUCACCAUACUUUGUCAACCGAUCGCUCGGUUCGAUUUCCCCGUCACAAAAGAAAGAAAAAAAAAAAAAAAAAGAACAAAAAAAUUUCGUCAUGAUUCGAGACAAUGGACCGUGCUGUAAAAUGGAAUCUCCAAAUUCCCGGAAAGAGGUGUCAAAAAAAAAAAAAAAAAAAUUUCAUCCAUCGAAAUUCCAAACUUUCCAAUUCCAUUUCCGGAAAAAAAAAA